rnacentral:rRNA from 1 species
CAGUCGAACGGACUCAUAUUGAAACCUAGUGAUUUAUGAGUUAGUGGCGGACGGGUGAGUAACGCGUGGAUAACCUGCCGUAUACCGGGGGAUAACACUUAGAAAUAGGUGCUAAUACCGCAUAAGCGCACGGCUCCGCAUGGGGCAGUGUGAAAAACUCCGGUGGUAUACGAUGGAUCCGCGUCUGAUUAGCUUGUUGGCGGGGUAAAGGCCCACCAAGGCGACGAUCAGUAGCCGGCCUGAGAGGGUGAACGGCCACAUUGGGACUGAGACACGGCCCAAACUCCUACGGGAGGCAGCAGUGGGGGAUAUUGGACAAUGGGGGGAACCCUGAUCCAGCGACGCCGCGUGAGUGAAGAAGUAUUUCGGUAUGUAAAGCUCUGUCAGCAGGGAAGAAAGAAAUGACGGUACCUGACCAAGAAGCCCCGGCUAACUACGUGCCAGCAGCCGCGGUAAUACGUAGGGGGCAAGCGUUAUCCGGAUUUACUGGGUGUAAAGGGAGCGUAGACGGCAGCACAAGUCUGGAGUGAAAUCCCGGGGCUUAACCCCGGAACUGCUUUGGAAACUGUGCGGCUGGAGUGCAGGAGGGGUAAGCGGAAUUCCUAGUGUAGCGGUGAAAUGCGUAGAUAUUAGGAGGAACACCGGUGGCGAAGGCGGCUUACUGGACUGUAACUGACGUUGAGGCUCGAAAGCGCGGGGAGCAAACAGGAUUAGAUACCCUGGUAGUCCACGCCGU